rnacentral:tRNA from 1 species
GCGAGAGUGGCGAAACGGCAGACGCGCUGGGUUUAGGUCCCAGUGGGGCACCCCCCCGUGAGGGUUCGACUCCCUUCUCUCGCA